UUUUGCACUAUUGGUUAGAGCCUGUAAGUAAGCAUUUCACUGUAAGGUCUACCUACACCUGUUGUAUUCGGCGCAUUUAUAACUACUAAGGUUAUGUAGAUAGCUCACAUACCGGUAGAUACUGCUGUAAUGCUAUGCUAUGUGGUUUGUAAGGACAGCGUAGCUAACAAAUUGUCAGCGAACAUAACGUGUAAGGUCAUUUAUUUGAAAAGUAUUCACUUUAUUACAUUGAGUAGCAAGCUACCGCGAGGACUUGCUCUAUCGACACUGCGGCUUGAGCAUGCUUUUGGUGCCGUCGAUAGCGGGAUAGCGGGCUGGACUUCGGGCAAGAAGGUUUAGGGUUCGAAACCUGCUCCCUGCUCGUUUCAUUUGAAGUCGUGCACAAUUAUAAGUUUAUUAUUUGGUUUAUAUUGCCCAUUCAUUGUCAGUUAGAGACACAGUAGUGCAUUGGGACCCAAAAGCAUAAUCAGUGCCCAAACUCCCCCUUGGUCAUUAGGGCAAAUCUGGUCUGUGAUAGAACAAUUAUUUAGUAAAAGUUUAAUAGUCUAUUGUUCAGCUAUUAGCCCCCCUCCCCAACUUGCAACAAAUUGUUGUUACUCCCAUCUCGUUCCUCGCCCUCUUCCACGCGUCAUUCUCUGCCUGAGUGGCUCGCUUGUGGGCGUGCAUGCAGGAUAUGGCAGCAUCUUCAGUUGUGCGUCAAGAAUUCUGCAUUGCAAGUUUGUAUGAAGGUCUGGUUAUUCACAAGCAAAUUGUUAUAUGCUAUGGAGGUACAUUUGUCUAUUUUUGUCAAGAGCAAAACAUUAUUUUUAAUCAAAAAUAAUUGUUCUAAAAGCAAAAGAGGCUUCAAAGUUUAAAAAAAACAAAUUUGCAAUAAAAUAUUUUGUAUUAGAGCGCAAAACAUAUUCGAGAACAAAACCUGUAUUUGAAAACAAUUUAAUUUCGCUAUCAACCCCCCUCCAUUUUGGCCAUUUUUUGAGUGUCAGUUUGGCUUCAACCAAUACUGUUCAGCCUUUCUUUCCGACACAAAGGAAGUCAUAGCGGACACCUACGAAGGACUGUGUGAUGAUGGCAUCUCAGGUAAGCAGCGCUGGGCGUUCUUCUGUCCAACUUCUACAUAGCUAGUAGUUAGCUCCUACGAUUCAGUGUCGGUUCAUAACAUUCUACUAUAUUACAUAGAUACAAACAUUCCGUAGAAUAAUAAAUCAUGCAAUUAUUAUUAUCAAGCUAACCAAAAACAUUUAGCUACGUAUGCCUGUUCUCGCCAUUUUCAGUUUAAUUCAUCUAACUUUCUUUCAUGGCAACUCAUUAGCAGGCCCUGUCCUAUUUGUUUCAUAGUCGAUAUAUAAUCAUAUUUCAUGACAGUGUAACGGAUAGCUUUUUUACAGAAGGAUGAAAGAACACAAUAUGUCUGCCAGGGAAUGCUACUCUGAUAUGUCAGAUGAAAUGUUAGACCAGAAAGUCAGGGCCAUUAAGGCAAGGAUGCCCCUUGCAGGCUUUAAAUGGUCAAAAGGAAGUCUCCAAGUAAUGGGCCAUCGUGUACAAUGGCGAAGAGUUAGGGAGUCUUUGCAGCGUGUAGAUGGUGCUGGUAUCAUUGCCAGAACGAUCCAGCUUCGUUGCAUUGCUCGGCAAAAAUACUCUGUUCCGGCUCCCCUGUCUCUCGUCCACAUUGAUACAAAUCAUAAAUUGAUAAGGUACUAAGAUGUAUGUCUCCAUCAAAUCUAAGAAGUUAUUUGAACUUUUUUAUUCUUACUUAUUCGUAGACAAAUGUUCAAUGAUGUAUGCAAUUGAAAUUGUUCUUCAUCAACUGGUAAUACAUGAAUAAUGAAGCAGGUUCAUAGGUUAAACAACUCACUUUUAAUUCCAAUGCUUUUUUUCAAGAUACAACAUUGUCAUCUUUGGCAGUAUAGAUGGAUUUUCAAGGAAGAGUGCGAGCUGAUCAAAGGGUCGAAAAUGUAGAUAUUGACAGAUGUAUGUUCACUGUCCGAGGAACAGGCAGUGGGAACGUUAUUCCUGGCAUAAGUGUCCAUAACCAGAGAGUGGAACGCUUAUGGAGUGUUUGGAGUGCUGUGACAUGUCAGUACUACAACUUGCUGCACAGUUUGGAGGAAGAAGGCUACCUUGACCUGUCGAAUUCUAUCCACCUCUUCUGUGUGGGAUAUGUGUUCCUACCUCAUCUGCGGGCAGAUCUGCACCAUUUCAAAGAGAGUUGGAAUAAUCACCCUUUAAGUCCAUAGGUGAACCUGACACCUCACCAGCUGUUGCCUUAGUACUACACAACGGAUUCAAAUGAUCAAGUCAUCAUCAAGCUUCAAGUGGUAUGUAUGUAUUCAUUUGUGAUCUGGUAAUGUAAAAGUCUAAUAAUGACAUUAUCUUCUAUUUUUUGUCCUCAUGUGACUGCUUUUCAGCAUAAAGAACUCAGAGUUAAUGAUCCAAGGUAUGUUUUGAUGUGAGAGAGGAAGCCAGUCCCGUCAUCGCCACCU